AGAAAAGCAAAGGCUGGGGUUCAGUGAGGAGGAAGGAGGGGAGGAGCCAGCCAGGCCUGCCACUUACUGAAGGCUCUCUCAAGCUCAGCCAUUCCUGACCACCCCGGCCCUUGGCUGGCCUGAGACUGCAGGAACGCAAGUGCUCGGCAGGGGUGCUCUACGCAGCCGAGCCGGGGCAAUCAGGUUCAUUCAAUUCUACUCGGGAGUCACCGCCACCGCCAGCUGCAGCUGCAACCGCUGACUCCAGAGGCUGUGCUGGGCACAGGGGCCAGGGAGCUUGCCCUGUCUUGUGAGGACAGAUCCCGGCCCUGCUCCACCCUGGGACCACUGCGCGCAGGGCCCUGGCUGCCCUGGCUCCUCGCCCAGGGGCUCUGCGGGAUUCAUCCCUGCGGGCAGAUAGGAACAUUUUCCAAGGACUAAGCGUGCUGUUGAAAUGCCUCUCCGCUGCAGUCCGUCCCAGGUGUGCGUUCAGUACUUGAAUCAGAGGAGUUCAAAACAUGUAAGCUCUUCAACAAUUGAAUUCCUGCAGUGUGGCCUCACUGUGGACUGGGAUGGGUGCCACACAGCAGCUGACCUGACAGCUGAACCCUCAGCCUGAGGAUCUGCAUGGUCGGGAGAAAGCCCCUGAAUGGUCAACACACAGGACAACCCAGGGGACGCUCAGGACGCACCACCACUACCCAGAGUGCUCUGUGCUAGGCCUCUUUCCCACUAUGCUCGCCUGGCUGACACAAGCUCCAAGUCAGGCGCCACUGCCUCCCUGAACCCCAACAUGGACAGAGCCUUCAUUUACAAAGGGCUGGCACCCAGGUCCUGGAGCUCCAAGUCCCGGGGAGAGGGGGGCUCCCAGGUGUCUCCAGACAAGCCAACAGGCCAUCCUGCACGGCAGGUGGGCAUUCCGCGAAGGAGACCUAAAGGUGGGGGGCGGGGACACUAACAUAACAGGGGCUCCAGGGUCAGCUCCUGGGGAGGCCCAGAGGACGAACAACGGCCUGCCUGAGAGACAGGGGGUGGUGACAAGUGCAGUGAGGUGUCAGCUGGGCUCAGGGAGACUCGUGUGCCUGGCACAGGGAAGACAGCCAAUACUGCCUGCAUAAACGAAGCAAUGGACGUUGGCAGGCACCCCUGGGUCAGAAGAAAGCUGGAAGUCAUCAGCACGAAGGUGGCAAAGGGCACUGGGGAAGAGGGGCCCUGAGAGAGGUGGGCUACAGGCCAGGGAAGGUGCCUGGGUCCUGGGCGAGGCAGCCCAGCAGGUUCUGGCCUGGAGGCUUUGGAGCUGGGUACUCCUGGGUCCACACCCCAGUGCCGACUGCCUGGAAUUUGCCCUGCUCUCAUUGAGAAUGGGACGCCCGUGCCAUUCACCUUCCUGCCCACACGGCCCAGAGGGUCAUCUUGAGUGAUCCCUUACUGUCCAUGGGAGAAGGGCAGGUGGGCCCCGUCACCCGAGCUGCUGCCUUAGGGUAAGGAGAUGAAGGGCCUGGCCUGGCCCGGCUCUCUCCUAUGGUCCAGGAAACGCUGAGCCAUCCAGUUGCCAUCCCACUCAGCCUGUCCAAAUCUAGACCUAGCCUCUUUCUGCAAAGUCCUGGGGCUCGGAGGGGAAGCCCAGGGGCACUCAGGUCACCAGGCCUGCUCGUGCCAUGCCCCAGCAGGCAGUGCCCUGUACCCCCACGGGCUGACAGUCCACCGUCUCGCCCGAGGCCUGCCUGCUUCCUGCCUGCACACUUGUCUCUCCAUGUCUCUGGCUUCUGCCACCCCAAGGACAAUUAACCACCCUAGCCCGGCAGCUCUCAGGGACUGAGCAAGCAGCAGGGGAUGGUGGGUCCUGGGGCUGGCCAGACUCAGGGAGGCAAUGCCUGGUGUGGGGCACAGCUGGCAGAGAGCUGCUGGGGCUAGGCUUGUGAAAUGCACUUUAUUGGGCCG